rnacentral:rRNA from 1 species
UACGGAGGAUGCGAGCGUUAUCCGGAUUUAUUGGGUUUAAAGGGUGCGUAGGCGGAUCGUUAAGUCAGUGGUCAAAUUGAGGGGCUCAACCCCUUCCCGCCAUUGAAACUGGCGAUCUUGAGUGGAAGAGAAGUAUGCGGAAUGCGUGGUGUAGCGGUGAAAUGCAUAGAUAUCACGCAGAACCCCGAUUGCGAAGGCAGCAUGCCGGCUUCCUACUGACGCUGAAGCACGAAAGCGUGG